AAAUUUUUCUGUUUCUAUUUUAAACUCACGGGGUUAGGGAGUUCAGACUCUAUCCUUUCAGGUACAAACUAGUUGUUUUUUUGAUAUUUAUGAAUAAUGAUGUGCAUGUAUGUGUGAAUUAAAUCACCCACCCCUAAAAUAAACACUACCUUGCCAACUUUCCAUCUACUUGGUAUUGGUGAGUUGAUUCCCGAGAUUUACUUUAUAUAUUAAUUUAUUCCCCUAUAUAUAUUUGUAAUAUGAUAAAUG